rnacentral:tRNA from 1 species
GAAGGAUGGCUGAGUGGUCUAAAGCGCUUGCUUGGAGAGCAAGUGUGUCAGCGAUGGCACCGUGGGUUCGAAUCCCACUCCUUCC